GGCUCGUUGGUCUAGGGGUAUGAUUCUCGCUUCGGGUGUGAGAGUUCCCGGGUUCAAAUCCCAAACGAGCCC
rfam:Danio rerio chromosome 4, GRCz11 reference primary assembly.